rfam:Haloterrigena daqingensis strain CGMCC 1.8909 genome assembly, contig: Ga0104462_103
GCGAGGGUAGCCAAGCGGCCAACGGCGGCGGACUCAAGAUCCGCUCGUGUAGACGUUCGUGGGUUCGAUUCCCUCCCCUCGCA